rnacentral:rRNA from 1 species
UACGAAGGGGGCUAGCGUUGUUCGGAAUCACUGGGCGUAAAGGGCGCGUAGGCGGCUUUGGUAAGUCGGGGGUGAAAGCCUGUGGCUCAACCACAGAAUUGCCUUCGAUACUGCAUGGCUUGAGACCGGAAGAGGUAAGUGGAACUGCGAGUGUAGAGGUGAAAUUCGUAGAUAUUCGCAAGAACACCAGUGGCGAAGGCGGCUUACUGGUCCG